rnacentral:rRNA from 1 species
AGUGAACGCUGGCGGCAGGCCUAACACAUGCAAGUCGAGCGGCAGCGGGCUGUAGCAAUACAGUGCCGGCGAGCGGCGGACGGGUGAGGAAUACAUCGGAAUCUACCUUGUCGUGGGGGAUAACGUAGGGAAACUUACGCUAAUACCGCAUACGAACUACGGUUGAAAGCGGAGGACCGCAAGGCUUCGCGCGAUUGGAUGAGCCGAUGUCGGAUUAGCUAGUUGGCGGGGUAAUGGCCCACCAAGGCGACGAUCCGUAGCUGGUCUGAGAGGAUGAUCAGCCACACUGGAACUGAGACACGGUCCAGACUCCUACGGGAGGCAGCAGUGGGGAAUAUUGGACAAUGGGCGCAAGCCUGAUCCAGCCAUGCCGCGUGUGGGAAGAAGGCCU